CCUACGGGAGACAGCAGUAGGGAAUCUUUCACAAUGGGCGAAAGCCUGAUGGAGCAACGCCGCGUGCAGGAUGAAGGCCUUCGGGUUGUAAACUGCUUUUAUAAGCGAGAAAUAUGAUGGUAACUUAUGAAUAAGGAUCGGCUAACUACGUGCCAGCAGCCGCGGUCAUACGUAGGAUCCGAGCAUUAUCCGGAGUGACUGGGUGUAAAGAGUUGCGUAGGUGGCAUAAUAAGUAGCUAGUGAAAUCUGGUGGCUCAACCAUUCAGACUAUUAGCUAAACUGUUAAGCUCGAGACCGUUAGGGGUAACUGGAAUUUCUAGUGUAGGAGUGAAAUCCGUAGAUAUUAGAAGGAACACCAAUAGCGUAGGCAGGUUGCUAGGACGGUUCUGACACUAAGGCACGAAAGCGUAGGGAGCAAACGGGAUUAGAUACCCUUGUAGUC
rnacentral:rRNA from 1 species